rnacentral:rRNA from 1 species
UACGAAGGGGGCUAGCGUUGCUCGGAUUUACUGGGCGUAAAGGGCGCGUAGGCGGACAGUUUAGUCAGAGGUGAAAGCCCAGGGCUCAACCUUGGAAUUGCCUUUGAUACUGGCUGUCUUGAGUACGGGAGAGGCGAGUGGAACUCCGAGUGUAGAGGUGAAAUUCGUAGAUAUUCGGAAGAACACCAGUGGCGAAGGCGACUCACUGGCCCGUUACUGACGCUGAGGCGCGAAAGCGUGGGGAGCAAACAGG